UACGGAGGGUGCAAGCGUUAUCCGGAUUCACUGGGUUUAAAGGGUGUGUAGGCGGGCUAUUAAGUCAGUGGUGAAAUCUCCGGGCUCAACCCGGAAACUGCCAUUGAUACUAUUAGUCUUGAAUGUUGUUGAGGUGGGCGGAAUAUAUCAUGUAGCGGUGAAAUGCAUAGAUAUGAUAUAGAACACCGAUUGCGAAGGCAGCUCACUAAACAACGAUUGACGCUGAGGCACGAAAGCGUGGGGAUCAAACAGG
rnacentral:rRNA from 1 species